rnacentral:rRNA from 1 species
ACGAACGCUGGCGGUGUGCUUAAUACAUGCAAGUCGAACGAUGAGGCCCUUCGGGGUACAUCAGUGGCGGACGGGUGAGUAACGCGUAGGUAACGUGCCUUGUACUGGGGGAUAACAUCGGGAAACCGGUGCUAAUACCGCAUAAGCUAUAGGUUGAAAUACUUAUAGUAAAAACUCCGGUGGUACAAGAUCGGCCUGCGUUGGAUUAGCUUGUUGGUGGGGUAAUGGCCUACCAAGGCGAUGAUCCAUAGUUGGUCUGAGAGGAUGACCAGCCACAGUGGGACUGAGACACGGCCCACACUCCUACGGGAGGCAGCAGUAGGGAAUAUUGCGCAAUGGGCGAAAGCCUGACGCAGCAACACCGCGUGGAGGAUGAAGCAUUUCGGUGUGUAAACUCCUGUCAGCAGGGAAGAUAAUGACGGUACCUGCAGAGGAAGCAUCGGCUAACUACGU